GGAUAGGGAUAGGAUAAUAAUUAUUAACCUGGGAACAGUCGCGCUCUUUUUUGUCACACGAUCGCGCGUUAAUUUUUGUCUAACAAUACUCGUAUCUAUUUAAAACAAAUCUUCAUUUUAUCCUCCUCAGUCCAUAAGUCCAGCCGGCUGGACAAUGUUUACUAAUUUAUUACACGGUUACUAUUCGGGUUGGGCAUCGUUGCGUCCUAUAUUGCAGCAUAUUGGACUUCCUAUUUAUCAAAUUUACUCAUUUGAAAAAUUCGACAACAGCGCCUACCUCGGUAGUUUGUUGUUACAUGUGGUGAAACUUUUUAAGUUAUGAUGACGGCUCUACAAAAAUAUAGUAAGUUGUAGUGUUUUUCUGUACUUUAAAGUAUUGACUGUUUUUACUGUAUGUUACUUGAUCAUUGGACGUAUUUGUGGUAAAUAUAUAUUUGAAAAUAAUUACAACUGGACACGUUAGCGGUCCUCUAAACUUUUUGUCCAGCAUUUUGGACAUUGGGACUGAGUUAGCCAAAUAUGUUACCAUACUCACAUUUUUUAAGUUUAGUUACAGAGAGUAAAAGGAUAUUGAUGGAAAGUGAAUUGGAGGCUAUUUUGACAGAUUACGAUUUUUUCAUCAGUGAAGAUAGCGAUAAUGAUCAAAGGAAAUAUAUUUACAGGAAUUUAAGCUGUAUGUUGGAAGGUCACUAGCUCUAGGUGGUAAGCCUGCCAGUGGGAGACAAGCUAGUGCGUCUAUUUCAAGAAAACCGGAGACAUCUGAAGAUGAGGUGCCCAUAAUUCCUGUAAAAAGAUCUACAGUUUACCAGUUACCGCCUAUAGAUGCCAUGACCAUUUGCGAAUAUGCUGUAGAAAGAAAUUUCUAUUGCCCUCAGCAAUAGAAAAUCUUAUCGCGUUGCCUAAACCGCUUGGAUGAACUAAGAAGACGAGAUUCUUUGGUACAGAAUGCAAAAUGUAUAUGUGUAUUUCUCCUCAACCAGAAUGUUUUUUCAGUUUCAUACUUAAAUUAUAUGAAACCUAAGUCCUGAUGUCCAUUAUGCUGGACAUGUCAUAUUAUGUUUGUCAAAUAAUUUUAUUAUAGUUUUUAUAGAUUUUCGUUUAUUGUUUUCACAAAUGAGAAGAGAAAAUAGAAAAUAUUUUUAAAAUAACAAAAACUUUUUUCUUGGGGCUGAAGAGGUUAUAGUAUUUUGUUUACUUUUUAUGUUAAAAACACCUAGUGCUAACAAAUAAUAAAAGAAUAUACAUUUAAAUGAAAACUCGAGAGAUAAACGAAAACGGAACGAACAUUAAAAUAAAUGAUAACAUGUACAAAGAAACGGAACAAGCACUUAAAUGUCACCACAAUAUGUAAUUCCGCUGGUAUGUUGAGAUAAUUUUUGAGCAAAGUGCAUACAGCGUUAAUUUAUGGUUAAUAUAGAGAUCGUUUAGAUAUGUAUAGAUAUUUGAGUACAAAAAGACUCUUGACACACUACUAUACUAGACAAUUAUACUUGAAAUAUUUGACCUAGAUAGGUACGUUUUCAGUCGCGUCGUUAGUAGUCCAGGAACCGAAGCUUUUCACCCUCGCAAUUUUUACAGAAUGGAUCGAUUUGCUUGAAAAUUUGAGAAUAAGUAGUGGAUAGUCCAAGGAUCAAAAUCUAUAUGAUGCCGAAGGGCGCUUUUACCAUGGGGUGGUUGCCACCUCAUCUGGGGGUGGAAAUUUUUUAUGAUAUUUUUACCACAAAAGUUGAUAAAAACAUUCAUUCUAAGCAAAAAAUGUUCUAUAUUCACGAUGUUCGAUUUAUUCGCUAUCGAAAGUGUUAUCGAAAAAAUCAAUGUUUUUCAAUAUACUUAUCUACGAUUCACUCAAUUUUUGCCGUAGAAAAAUUUUAUUCAAACCAGGUUCUUGGUAAUUAAAUAACCUACAAUUUUAUGUUUAAACAUUUUUUCGUAUCUCUAUGCUAAUCUUUCUAUUCUGAAGAAAAUGGCAUUUUUUACCAAACUACAAAAAUUCGUUAUUCGCUUUUAACUCCAGUUUUUUUAAAACUAAUUAAUCUACGCUAGUCCAACUUCUAGAAUCUAUUAAUAAUACACAAAAAAAUAAGAAUGAAUAAGGCCAAUUACUAAAAACACCACUCACUUACAUUAUUUUGGUUCUUAUGGUUCCAAUAAUUGGAUCUACCUUUUUUUUUGCAAAAAAAUAUAUUGAUUUUUUAACCGUAACUUUUUUAUUUUUUAUUUUAGAACGUUUGGUAAAAAAUAAUUUUAUACGUUUUUACAAGAUCUAUAAGUCUACUAAUAUUAAAUCUUUUUUAAAGUCCUCACUCACAAAAUGAGGUGACUUUGAAAGGGUUGGUAAAGGUGGUUUUUGCAAGUUCUUACAAGUUUUAAUUGUCAAUAGCUCACUCAAUUUUUGCUGUAGAGAAAAUUUUUGCAAACCAGGUUCUUGAGAAUUAAAUAAGCUACAAUCUCAUAUUUCAAUAUUUUUUCGUAUCUCUGAUGCUAAUUUUUCUUUUCUGAAGGAAAGACAUUUUUUCCAAACUACAAAAAUUCGUUAUUCGCUUUUAACCCCAUUUUUUUAAAAACUAAUUAUUCUAAGCCGGUCAAAUUUCUAGAACCUAUUAAUAAUACAUAAAUAAAGAAGUCCAAAUAAGGUACAGACUAAUUUUAAUUAGGGUGGUGAUUAGGAGGUUGCUAACGAUCACUUUUUCGCUGAAAAAAAUAGGGACUGACAUUCUUUUCAUUAUAAGUCACUUAAUUUUUGAGCUAGAGACUUUUUUAUUUCUGAAGAUGGAUAUUUUUAUAUACUUUAAAUUAGUUUAAACAAGUUAUCCUCGAAAAAUGCAUAGUUUUCCCGUUUUUUGAUUCUGAAACUACAAUAUUUAUCAUUUGACGAAGAAGAGCUAACAUAUAAUAAAAUAUAGCUCGAUUACUAUUGGUCUUAAAAAAAACUAAAAAGGACGGUUUUGUUUAUUUUUUCAAAUGGUACAUUUUUGUUAAGUAAAGUUGUUUUCAUAAAACAACAAUUUUUGGAGUUUAUUAGCAGAAAAUUUAAACAUUAAAAACAUUGAUUUUUUCGAUAUAAAACUAACAUUUUUGCUGGCAAAUAAAUCAAAAACUACUAUUAAUUUUAUCGAAAAAAUGUAUAGAACGUUUUUUGCUUAGAAUGAAUGUUUUUAUUAACUUCUGCGGUCAAAAUAUAAUAAAAAAUUUCCGCCCCCGAGAUGGGGUGGGAACCACCCCCAUGGUAAAAGCGCCUUUCGGCAUCAUAUAGAUUUUCAUCCUUGGACUAUCCAAUACUUAUUCUCAAAUUUUCAAGCAAAUCUAUCCAUUCUGUAAAAAUUGCGAGGUUUUGUCCUAUUUUCAGCUUCAUUACUUGGACUAUAGAUUUUAUCUCACAAAAAUCAAUGCUAUUCAUACUUAGUUAUAGUGUCCGGUACACUUUAAUAUGUGCAUUAUACACUCCUCCUCAAGACACUUGCGAGUGUAAAGCUAUGUUGCUAAAUUUUUUAUCAAAUUAUCACGGAAAAGAAUAAAAUGUUAGAUUUUUUCUUACAACGCGACCGAUCCCGGGUUAAUAAUUUAUUAUUAUAGUAUUUGUAUUAGUUCAAAAUUACCAGAUAUACAAUAUCGUGGAAGUUAAUUGGGGCAAACAAACAAACAGAUGCAUAUGGAUUUGGACAAAUUCCAUAUUGAAAUAUUUAAAAAUAUAUAUUUAAAUACAAUAAUACUGUUAGAAAUAAACAUGAUACUGUUUGACAUGUGAUUUCUUAAAUACGUUUUGGACUGAAUCUUAUUAAUUUUAGUAACUUUAUCAGUAAGCAGAUUCUUCUGAAUUGUCAUUAAAAAAUUCAUAACACAUAAUGUAGUUAGAAUGUUAGAGCAUUCCCAGUAACUAAAUAUGUUCAGGUUGCACCUAUUUGUCAAAUCUUGUUAAUUUCACAUAUUUGAAGAUUCUUAUGCAUUUUUAUUAAAAAAUGCCUUUAAUUCAGGAAAUAUAUAUGGAUAGAGCCUUCUCACUAGUAUUUUUGAGGUUGUUUGGGUUAAAUCUUGUCAAUGUAAUUAGAUUGUCCCAAUUAUUAUGCACAAUACAGUAUUUAGCCAGCCAAUAUUAGCCAUAUCUUGUUUUAGUUUUAGUGAAAAUUGUAUACUUUACUUUGCGUUUUAUUGAAAUAAAGAAAAACAGUUCACCUCGAUCCUUAAAAAGGUGUUAACCAACUUUUAUACUCAGAAGUUUCAUGUUUAUUUGGCAUGUUUCUUGUUGCUUUCCUAUUCUUUGACGUAAUCUCUUCCAUAAGGAAGAGAUUGUUCCAUUGUUAUAAAGUGAAUCACAGUUGUUUUUCUAACUACUCUUCUAUACAACUGCUUGAGUUAUAUAAGUUGUAUCUAAUCUAAACUAUAUAAUUAUUACUCAAUAACUGUUCAUGGGGGAUGAUUUUAAUCUUACAUUAUUACUCUAGAAUUCUAGAAGUAUUAUUCUCAUUUCAAGAUAGAUAUAAGAAUCAAUCAAUAGGUGUCUCAUCUGGAUUACUUUAAAUUUGUUUAUCGCAGUUUUAAUAGGACAUAAUCCAAUUGCAUAUUAUUAUGUUCAACUGUAUUUUUCUUUCGCACAACAUAACUGUCAACCAACUGCACUUUGUCAACGUUCUUUCUUAUACAUUUUCCCAUUUUCUGACAUCCCUAAAUUUUAUAUAUAUAUUGAUAAUAAAAGUUUCUUCUUUAACCCUCACUUUAAACCAUCUCUUUAAUCUGAUGAAACCUUUGAAAAUAAAUAUUUUGGAUAUUUUGUCUUUGAUCUACUAAAUGAGAAAAUUCUUGUAAAAUCUCGCUACUCAAUUUUCUGUACUAUUUUUGUCUGUUCUAACCCUAACUAUAAUUAAUAGACAUACCUCUAUAACUCUAUAUGAUGAUAAUGUGGAUACGGAUAUUAUGUAUAAGGAAAUAAAUACACAAUAAAUAUAGAUUUAACAAAUGUAUAACUCUUUAUCCUAUAUGUAGGCUUAAAACCAAUUUGUUUUUCUUAUUUUUUGCCCUGAAAAAAAAAAAAAUUAAGAAUAAGAUGUCCACAGGUUUUUUAUUUAUGUUUGCUCCAAUAAUUAGAUAUUGUUAAUUUAAAACACACUUUUUUAGUUUAAAUCGAUAUGUUUCUUUUAGGGUGUAGGUGCAAAAUUUAGGCUCCAAUGCUUUUUCAAUGCAUUAAUUUUUGUCGAAUCCUGAGAAAACUAAAAAAUAUUUUUGAAAAAUUUAAUCGCAAAAUGAAAGAAUACAUUAUUACAGACGGCCAAAAGUACCCUAGAAUUAACAAAAACCUUCUUUUGAAUGAGAUAUUUGAAAUUAAAAAUUACACUAAAUUUUCAGUAGUAAUUGCACAAGAGCUCUAAAAUUCUAUAUUAAUUUUAGAGAUGGAGUGAAAUUUGUUGCGACUAUUUCAUGAAUAAAACUGUUGAAAACCAAAAUUUUAUUGUAAUUUAUUUAUGUAAGUACAAAUUAGUACAAUUAAACACACAGUUGUUAUAAUUAUUUGACGGUUGAAAGUCAUCACUUUUAUAAUUUUUAAAACAUUAAUUGUCAUUAAUGUCACUGAAUGUAUUUUUUCUUGGCAACAAGGGCCCCUGAUGUAAUAUACUUGACGACGGGAAAUUAUCAGUAGUAAUUGCACAAGAGCUCUGAAAUUAUUGAAUGUUUCCCGAGUGACACUUUGACAGUUUUAAUUUCACGAGCCGAAGGCGAGUGAAAUUAUGUCAAAGUGUCACGAGAGCAAAAAUUAUAUAUUAAUUUCAGAGGUCGAGUGCAAUUUGUUGCGAUAAUUUCAUGAAUAAAACUGUUCAAAACCAAAAUUUUAUUGUAAUUUAUUUAUGAAAGUACCAUUAAACAUACAGUUUUUAUAAAUAUUUGACGAUUGAAAGUCAUCACUUUUAUAAUUUUUAAAACAUUAAUAAUUGUCAUCAAUGUCACUGAAUGUAUUUUUUCGUAGCAACGAAGGGCAUCUGACGUAAUAUGCUUAACGACGGGAGAUUAUCAAAAAUUAUCGAUUUAAUUCAGAUUUCUGUAGCUUUUUAUUGGUCAGAAUAUCCUAUGAAUGAAAUAAUCAGUAGUAAUUGCACAAGAGCUCUGAAAUUAUUGAAUUUUUCCCGAGUGACACUUUGACAGUUUUAAUGAGUGAAAUUAUGUCAAAAGUGUCACGAGUGCAAAAAUUCUAUAUUAAUUUUAGAGAUCGAGUGCAAUUUGUUGCCAUUAUUUCAUGAAUAAAGCUGUUCAAAACCAAAAUUUUAUUGUAAUUCAUUUAUGUAAGUACAAAUUAGUACAAUUAAACACACAGUUAUAAAUAUUUUACGGUUGAAAGUCAUCACUUUUAUAAUUUUUAAAAAAUUGUCAUGCAUGUCACUGAAUGUAUUUUUUCGUAGCAACGAAGGGCAUUUGACGUAAUAUACUUGACGACGGGAAAUUAUCAAAAAUUAUCGAUUUAAUUUAGAUUUAUGUAGCUUUCUAUUGGUCAGAAUCUCCUAUGAAUGAAAUAAUCAAAAAUUAUCGGGUAUAAUAUCACAAGAGGGUGAGAAUAAAUUGAAAAUAAUGCGACAGUUUUUCGAAAAUUUGUUGUCUGGAAAUAGAAACGAGAGCCCACAGGGCUCGAGUGGCUAUUGCUCAAUGACAACAAAUUUGAGUAAAAAUGAAGCAUUAUUUUCUUAUUUAUUCUUGCUGUCGUGUGAUAUUCGUAAGAUUAUUUUUUAAUACGUAUAUUAUGGAUAUUUUCUUAAAUGUGACAGUUGUCAAAACUAGGUAACUGGUUGCCAUUAAACAGAAACAAUCUACUUAAAAAAAUUAUAUCGGUAAUUUUCUACAGUAGAUAAUUCUCAGUAUAAUUUUAAUCUGAUUGGACAGAAUUAAACACGUGAUCAAAUAUCUUACUAUACGAUUGGAAGUUAAAAUCAUUCAAAAAUAAUCAGUUUAAUUUUUAUUUCUGUAGCUUUCUAUUGGUCAGAAGCUCCUAUGAAUAUGAAAUAUGAAUUAUGAAAUAAUCUCUUUUUUAUGCCUGUAACGUGUUAAAAUAAACGUUAUAGGAGUUUUCAGGGACUUUCGGCCCUCGGCGAUAUACGUAAUCUUUCAUAUUGCGUUUAAAUUUUUCAAAAAUGCUUAUCAGAAUUCCCAGGAUUCGAAAAAAUGAAUAGAUUUAAAAAGCAUUGAAGGUGAAAUUUUGCGACUACCUCCUAACAACUUUUUCUCUUAAGUUUAUAUGGAAUUAAAUGCAGCUGAUUGUAAUGAUAAUUAAAUUUUUACUCAAAA